rnacentral:rRNA from 1 species
CGGGACGGGUGAGUAACGCGUGGGUAACCUGCCCUGUACAGGGGGAUAACAGUCAGAAAUGACUGCUAAUACCGCAUAAGACCACAGCACCGCAUGGUGCAGGGGUAAAAACUCCGGUGGUACAGAAUGGACCCGCGUCUGAUUAGCUGGUUGGUGAGGUAACGGCUCACCAAGGCGACGAUCAGUAGCCGGCUUGAGAGAGUGAACGGCCACAUUGGGACUGAGACACGGCCCAA